UACGAGGGGGGCAAGCGUUGUUCGGAAUUACUGGGCGUAAAGGAUGCGUAGGCGGACAUUUAAGUCAGAUGUGAAAUACCCGAGCUUAACUUGGGUGCUGCAUUUGAAACUGGGUGUCUAGAGUGCAGGAGAGGUAAGUGGAAUUCCUAGUGUAGCGGUGAAAUGCGUAGAGAUUAGGAAGAACACCAGUGGCGAAGGCGACUUACUGGACUGUAACUGACGCUGAGGCAUGAAAGCGUGGGGAGCAAACAGG
rnacentral:rRNA from 1 species